rnacentral:rRNA from 1 species
AGCGAACGCUGGCGGCAGGCCUAACACAUGCAAGUCGAACGGGCACUUCGGUGUCAGUGGCAGACGGGUGAGUAACACGUGGGAACGUACCUUUUGGUUCGGAACAACACAGGGAAACUUGUGCUAAUACCGGAUAAGCCCUUACGGGGAAAGAUUUAUCGCCGAAAGAUCGGCCCGCGUCUGAUUAGCUAGUUGGUGAGGUAAUGGCUCACCAAGGCGACGAUCAGUAGCUGGUCUGAGAGGAUGAUCAGCCACAUUGGGACUGAGACACGGCCCAAACUCCUACGGGAGGCAGCAGUGGGGAAUAUUGGACAAUGGGCGCAAGCCUGAUCCAGCCAUGCCGCGUGAGUGAUGAAGGCCCUAGGGUUGUAAAGCUCUUUUGUGCGGGAAGAUAAUGACGGUACCGCAAGAAUAAGCCCCGGCUAACUUCGUGCCAGCCGCCGCAGUAA